rnacentral:rRNA from 1 species
CCUACGGGUGGCUGCAGUGAGGAAUAUUGGUCAAUGGCCGUAAGCCUGAACCAGCCAAGUCGCGUGAAGGAAGAAGGCCCUAUGGUUUGUAAACUUCUUUUGCAGGGGAGUAAAGUUAUCCACGUGUACCUCCUUGCAUGUACCCUAUGAAUAAGCAUCGGCUAACUCCGUGCCAGCAGCCGCGGUAAUACGGAGGAUGCGAGCGUUAUCCGGAUUUGUUGGGUUUAAAGGGUGCGUAGGUUGUUGUUUAAGUCAGCGGUGAAAGUUUGUGGCUCAACCAUAAAAGGGCCGGUGAAACUGGAAGGCUUGAGUGUGGUAGAGGUAGGCGGAAUGCGUGGUGUAGCGGUGAAAUGCAUAGAUAUCACGCAGAACUCCGAUUGCGAAGGCAGCAUACCGGGCCACAACUGACGCUCAGGCACGAAAGCGUGGGGAUCAAACAGGAUUAGAUACCCCAGUAGUC